AGCGAACGCUGGCGGCAGGCCUAACACAUGCAAGUCGAACGAGCUCUUCGGAGUUAGUGGCGGACGGGUGAGUAACACGUGGGAACGUGCCUUUUGGUUCGGAAUAACUCAGGGAAACUUGUGCUAAUACCGAAUGUGCCCUUCGGGGGAAAGAUUUAUCGCCAUUAGAGCGGCCCGCGUCUGAUUAGCUAGUUGGUGAGGUAACGGCUCACCAAGGCGACGAUCAGUAGCUGGUCUGAGAGGAUGACCAGCCACACUGGGACUGAGACACGGCCCAGACUCCUACGGGAGGCAGCAGUGGGGAAUCUUGCGCAAUGGGCGAAAGCAUGACGCAGCCAUGCCGCGUGAAUGAUGAAGGUCUUAGGAUUGUAAAAUUCUUUCACCGGGGACGAUAAUGACGGUACCCGGAGAAGAAGCCCCGGCUAACUUCGUG
rnacentral:rRNA from 1 species